GACGAACGCUGGCGGCGUGCCUAACACAUGCAAGUCGAGCGAGUUGAUUUUCUUCGGAGAUGAAGCUAGCGGCGGACGGGUGAGUAACACGUGGGCAACCUGCCUCAUAGAGGGGAAUAGCCUCCCGAAAGGGAGAUUAAUACCGCAUAAGAUUGUAGCUUCGCAUGAAGUAGCAAUUAAAGGAGUAAUCCGCUAUGAGAUGGGCCCGCGGCGCAUUAGCUAGUUGGUGAGGUAACGGCUCACCAAGGCGACGAUGCGUAGCCGACCUGAGAGGGUGAUCGGCCUCAUUGGGACUGAGACACGGCCCAGACUCCUACGGGAGGCAGCAGUGGGGAAUAUUGCACAAUGGGGGAAACCCUGAUGCAGCAACGCCGCGUGAGUGAUGACGGCCUUCGGGUUGUAAAGCUCUGUCUUCAGGGACGAUAAUGACGGUACCUGAGGAGGAAGCCACGGCUAACUACGUGCCAGCCGCCGCAGUAAUAC
rnacentral:rRNA from 1 species